CCUGUUUGGGGAAGGGAACGGCUUGCCGUCGUUGCUUCUGCUGGCGGCUUUUCACAGAUUUUGAGGGUUUCUCCGUGCUAGCGGGGACUCGCUCCGCGGCGGGCACUGUUUCCGGGUCUCGCCGCUCUCCUCCUCAGAGCCUUCCCGCUGGCGUUAGGUUAGCCGCCCAGCGAAAAGGGAGAGAAACUCGGAAAUGGGUUGUCUGCACUGACCGCGUCGGGCAGCGUUCCGGGUGUGCGGAGCCGACGGUCCCCGCGGAGAUUUGGUUCUGGCGGGAUUUCCCCAGGCGGGCAUUUCACAAGUAUCACCAGUGAAUGGUAUUACACGUCUGCCAAGGCAUCCACCUGUGAGUUCACCUUCAGCCAAUCACCGAGUGAUUUGUUGGCCCUGUUUGAAGGCACUAUGCUAGCUAGGUCCUGGGGGUUCAGGGAUUGGCAAAAUAAACCCGUCUCUGCCCUUAACAGUCCUUGACAGCAGGGAUCAGAUGUUAAAGAAGUAAACAGGCAAAUGUGUGACAUAAUAAAUGCAAAUGCAUGGAAGGAAAAGUACGGGGUACUUUGAGAGAGAAGUAGAGUAAAUGUCAUUUAGAAAGGGUGUAAUUUAGCAGUGUUCCACGAAAAAGAAAAAGCAAGAAUAAAGGCUCUUGAAGUGAGAAAGGCUUGUCAUAGUGAAGAGACUUAAAGCAGACUAGUGUGGCUGCUGUAAUUCUGACCAGAUUCUUCUACUUCUUGAAUAUCAAAUCUGGCUUUUCUUUUUUCUUUUUUUUUGCCUUGUCUAUUGCCACCGACUCAGUUUAGCCUUUGUCAUUUUUAUCCUGGAUCAGUGCAAAAACUUAACUAAUGUCCUAUCCUUUUGUUCUUUGCAUCCUUCACUCUUCCUAAAAUACAAAUUUUAAACUAUAUUUUUCUUUAACCUCACUGACUUUAGAACAAAAUCCAGAUCCUUUGCAUGGUGUAGAAGGCCCUAUAUUUUUCUGGCCCCUGCUCAUCUCAUGUUUUGCUUCUCUCUGCACCCCUGAAACUCCAUCUUGCCUUUGCACAUGCCUUUGCCUUUGCUUGAGACAGUCCUCCAUCUCAGCUUCUCCCUGGCUAACUUUUUUUUUAUGUAAAUUUAUUUAUUUUAUUGGCUGUGUUGGGUCUUUUUUUGUUGUGCGUGGGCUUUCUUUUUAGUUGCGGUGAGUGGGGACUACUCUUCAUUGUGGUGCCCGGGCUGCUCAUUGCCAUGGCUUCUCUUGUUGCGGAGCACAGGCUCUAGGCGCGUGGGCUUCAGUAGUUGCAGCACAUGGGCUCAAUAGUUGUGGCUCACGGGCUCUGAAGCACAGGCUCAAUAGUUGUGGCACAUGGGCUUAGUUGCUCCGCGGCACGUGGGAUCUUCCUGGAGCAGGGAUCGAACCCGUGUCCUCUGCGUUGACAGGCGGAUUCUCAGCCACUGCGCCACCUAGGAAGCCCUCCCUGGCUAACUUUUAAUUAUCCUUCAGGGGCCAACCCAGACAUCACUUUCUUCAGUAUGUCUUGUUUGACAUCCCUGAUUUGGAUUAAGCGCCCUGUGUCACUCAGUGUAUUCUGCUGUCAUCAGUCUUUGCCGUGCUUAAUUGUGUUGGUCUCCCUUGAUGCACAGAACUUUUUUAGGUUGUCACUCUUUGCUUGGUACAGUACCUAGUACCUUGAAAAUGUCACUUGGCAAAUGAAAAGAAAGAAUACUAACUCAUUUUUAAGCCACUUAUAUAGGCAGUGUGGUCUGUGGAAAGACUUGAGUUUGAAUCCAAACUCCUUCACUUACUAGUUGUGUGAUCUGGGUGAGGGAUUUAACAUUAUCUGUUUUGUCAUUUGUAAAACUGAAAAUA